rfam:Hordeum vulgare subsp. vulgare, WGS project CAJW01000000 data, contig: morex_contig_1597972
CUAAUUGAUGAUGAUGAACUGAGGGAGUAUAUCCUUGGUGGUCUUGAUGGAUAAUAUAACUCUGUGGUUGCCUCUAUUAACAUUGUUC